GCCUCGUAAAGAAAGUUCCUGCUGCUUCUUCUGCUAUGAUUGUAAAUUUCCUGAGGCCUCUCCAGCCACGCAGAACUAUGGUGUCAGAAUUGGAACAUGAAGUAGAACUUCCAGUAACCCCUAGGAGCAUCAAGUGACCCAGAGAGGUAACCCCCUCCACCAGGGUCCAUUGCAUCCAUUGCUCUCUCACAGCAACUGAGGCUCAUGGUGGUAACUUUGUGAGACAAGCCUCAAAUUUUACCACUGUACCAAGAAAUGAAAGCCAGAAUGUGGAAUUGGAGCUGGUAAUGACGACGUCAGGACAGGUUCAAAGGAAGCCCAUCACUUGAGUAAAAAUUUAUAGCCCUGCUUGUGCUGUGCUGUGCUGUGCUGUGAGUUUCAGUUCCGGGCCAGCAAAAGAUUUAUCAAAGGAAAGCAACAAGGUGUAAGAAAAAUUAAUUUCAGAGAGGAAAAUAAAGUUGCUUGAGGGGCUCUUCAAUGACCAAAGGCCAUAAGAGACUGGAAGGCAAAAGGACCCAUUAAUGUAAUCCAAACAUCAGUCUCCUGCAGCAAAGAGGUGAAUGGAGAAGGGUGGAGAGUAGCUGUGGACGAGUGAAAAAGACAUCGCACCAUGUCUUCAAAUUACAUCCAGCAACUUCAUAUGAACUAUGAAACCCUUGUUGCCACAAUAGUCCCUCUUUGUUUGAACUACUACAAGAAUAAAGAAAUUUCUUUCUAAUCUUUUGCAGAAGAAUUACAUAGACUCUCACUUACUGCUCUUGUUUCAUAGGUGGCUGAUUUUCCAAUUAUAUUAAAUACUUUUGGAAGGGCUGGGACUACAUCUAAUUUCUUGAAAAGUCUGGUGCUGUGGAAGACCAAGACCCAGACUGUUGAGGUCAGCCUAAUGUAAUGUGAAAUAUCUAAACUCUGCGUACUUCUUUACCAUGAGUGUAUAGAUAAAAUAUCAUUGCAUUUAAGGAAAUUGCUUAAAGCCUCACAGUGAAUAAAGUUGACAAAACAUGUAGACUUAUUGCAGAUUUUAUGCAUUUAGGUUUUAUGGCUUCAUUUGCAAUCAGGACUCCCCUCCCCUCCCUUCCUCCCUUCCUUCCCUUCCCUUCCCUGUCCUUCUUUCUUUCCUUUCCUUCCCCUUCCUUCCUUCUCCUCGUCCUGUUU
rnacentral:lncRNA from 10 species